rnacentral:sRNA from 1 species
UGGCACAACAUUUCCCUAAAACUACUGAGGAAAACCCUAUAUUUGUAGUAAGCCGGGAACCUCUGAAUACCAUAGGAUUAAUAUAUGAAAAAAUUUCCCUCCCUAAAGUACAUCCACGUUAUGAUUUAGACGGGGAUGCUAGCAUGGCUAAGGUUAGUAUUUAAUUGAAUGACUAUGUAAACAUCUGAAUUUAAUGUAUCCUAUCAAUAGUGGAAGCAAUAACAUGUAUUGUGUCUUCAUGUAUGCCUAUAUGACCGGAAAUUAUUCACUUAAAUUGAUACCCUUUCCAAGUUAUUUUGUGGUCUUUCUUUUUUACUUUUUAUCCUUUCUUGAAUUCAUUAUAUAAGAAAAUUCUCUCCACUGAGAUAGUGCAUGUUUAGAUAAUGUUAAGGAUAACAUAUUUGUUAUAUUUAUAUCUAUUUUUAACUCUUAGAAAUUGGUUUAUUGUGUUUUUAAUUAACCUGAUGAAAAUGUGUAAGCUUGAAUAAUUUUGUGUAAAAUUUUUUCUUAACCUAUACCACAAUUAGCACCAAAUAUUGACAUUUUAUUUCUUUAUUAGGCAAUAACAGGGGUUGUGUGUUAUGCCUGCAGAAUUGCCAGUACCUUACUGCUUUAUCAGGAAUUAAUGCGAAAGGGGAUACGAUGGCUGAUUGAAUUAAUUAAAGAUGAUUACAAUGAAACUGUUCACAAAAAGACAGAAGUUGUGAUCACAUUGGAUUUCUGUGUCAGAAACAUUGAAAAAACUGUGAAA